rnacentral:rRNA from 1 species
AUUGAACGCUGGCGGCAGGCUUAACACAUGCAAGUCGAGCGGAGAUGAGGUGCUUGCACCUUAUCUUAGCGGCGGACGGGUGAGUAAUGCUUAGGAAUCUGCCUAUUAGUGGGGGACAACAUUCCGAAAGGAAUGCUAAUACCGCAUACGUCCUACGGGAGAAAGCAGGGGAUCUUCGGACCUUGCGCUAAUAGAUGAGCCUAAGUCGGAUUAGCUAGUUGGUGGGGUAAGGGCCUACCAAGGCGACGAUCUGUAGCGGGUCUGAGAGGAUGAUCCGCCACACUGGGACUGAGACACGGCCCAGACUCCGACGGGAGGCAGCAGUGGGGAAUAUAGGACAAUGGGGGAAACCCUGAUCCAGCCAUGCCGCGUGUGUGAAGAAGGCAUUAUGGUUGUAAAGCACUUUAAGCGAGGAGGAGGCUACUGAGACUAAUACUCUUGGAUAGUGGACGUUACUCGCAGAAUAAGCACCGGCUAACUCUGUGCCAGCCGCCGCAGUAACAC